UACGUAGGGUGCGAGGCGUUAAUCGGAAUUACUGGGCGUAAAGCGUGCGCAGGCGGUUCGUUGUGUCUGCUAGUGAAAUCCCCGGCUCAACCUGGGAAUGGCAGUGGAAACUGGCAGCUAGAGUAUGGCAGAGGGGGUAGAAUUCCACGUGUAGCAGUGAAAUGCGUAGAGAUGGUGGAGGAAUACCGAUGGCGAAGGCAGCCCCCUGGGCCAAUACUGACGCUACAUGCGACGAAAG
rnacentral:rRNA from 1 species